UACGUAGGGUGCGAGCGUUAAUCGGAAUUACUGGGCGUAAAGCGUGCGCAGGCGGUUCUCCAAGUCCGUUGUGAAAGCCCCGGGCUCAACCUGGGAAUGGCAGUGGAAACUAGGGGACUGGAAUCUGGCAGAGGGGGGUGGAAUGCCGCGUGUAGCAGUGAAAUGCGUAGAUAUCGUAAGGAAGACCAGUGGCGAAGGCGGGUCUCUGGACAGUUCCUGACACUGAGACACGAAGGCCAGGGGAGCAAACGGG
rnacentral:rRNA from 1 species